AAACCAGAUAACCUUGGCAAGUACAGGAAACCUUUCCUGAAUUAUAACUAGAGGAAAUUCAGGGUCGUUUUUUGCUGUUGACAAUUCAUGCUGGCUGGUGCAAGGUAUCCAGAGAGAACUCUUUAAGUCAUCAGAAUAAACUGGAUUGCCAAGUCAACUACCCAUAUACCUCGGUGUCCAAAACUUCUGCAGAGCUCUCUUUUUCUGCUUCCACAUGGCUGUGGUAUCGAUGAACGAUCUCUGUGAGACUGAAACAUACAAAAGUGUGAGAUGCGAUUACUAAUGUCCUGGAAGGACCUUUUAUCGAAGCAUAGAGUUCGUAUUUGGCCAACAGAAUGGGGUGUCUCGGUGAUGAUGCUACACAAGCUCCCUUGAUUGGUUUCAAAGGUGUGUGUUUUUCUACGUUGUUGUUGUUAACAUGAAAUAUCUUGAACUAGAAAUAUAAAGUGCAUGAGCAAAAAUGCUCUAGAAAGUUGACAUGCCAAAAACAUAGACGAGAAAAGAACGAGCAUGACAAUAAGAAGCAUCAAAUCUUGUUGAGGUUGCCUUGGCGAUAAGGAAAUAAUCUUCUAAAAUUUGAGAAAUUUUUUAAGGUGACACGAAUCGUCACAAAAUCAUAUCACUCGAAUAACCAUGCCAGGUAAAGGUGAUACCAUACUGUGUGGGUAUUCUAUUAUGAGGUAAAAGGGUGUAAAGCAUAUUAGAUGGACGUUAAAAGCUUCGUAUAACUUGAAAAAUCAUUCAUUCAUUCAUCUGUAGGAGGUCAGAGACCUUAUACUAACUUUCAUACUAACUUUCAUACUUAUAAUAGCAAUCUUUGAUAGAUUAGAACUUGAUUAACCGUAGUAUAGUAGUUUCAUAUUAGAAUCAAAGGAAUAACUGCAAUGGUCCUCGUAUGGCACAAGAUUAUGCUCUAGUAUGGUGAGAGACCUAGCACAAAAUUAUUACACCUGCGUGAGGGUCACAAAAUAUGUUUAACAUAAAGAAGCAAAGCGAGCAUCGGGACUAAGUAGAGUUGUUCCUCCAUGGAUCAACAAGCCAAGAUCAAAGAAGGAAUAGAUAGCGCAUCCAAAAAAAGACAAAGUCGAAUAAUAGCUAAAAACCUCAUUCCAGAAGGCACUCUACCACAGUUGUAUUUGAACAAUAGCUACAAAUGCCUAGUACUACCUUGCAUGAAGUGUAAUCGAGAUUGUGAUAUUGUGGAAUAUGUUGAUCUUUUCAAUGAGAUAAAAACUUGGCACCACACUCCAUAACAGCACUUCAGGACUUCCAAACGACGUUUUUCGCCAAGAUUAAGACUCUCUUAAUAACUUCUCUAUGCGGCUAUGUUGCGCGGACUCUCCUAAAUGCUGCUGCAUCCGUGUCAGAUCCUUAAAAAAUACCAUGUACCCGACAAAAUUUUCGGAGAGUUCGAGCAACGUAGCUCUAUGGAACACAAUCGUUAGAAAAAAUCUUUUUUUUUUUCCAACUAGAUUUUAAAACUAGUAAUUUCUAUUAGGUUCUACUUUUUAUCUUUCCCUACUGCCCCAUCCUUGUAGCUAGAUCAAGAAAGAACCAAAUCAAUCCUUCUUAUGAAGUGGCUAUGAAAAUUUCCAAAGGAAAAGAAAAAGCCAUGGUGCUCAUAUUUCGCUGCUAAGUGCCUCUCCAAUGGCAAAAAUGGAUUGACCAACCCACCUCGUAAAUAUCAUGCAUCUAAAGCAAAUACUCGGAAUGCUCCACGACUAAGUAUACCCAUUCAGACUCACUUUUGUUCAAUUAUAAAAAAGUUUAUCCACGACACAUCUCCAUACAUUAACUAGUUGAAUUCCAAAAUAUCUCCUUAUGGCGCACCAUUAUAGCACAACACUUUGCAAGCUGUCUUCCUUGUUGGAUCUGUGUAGAGUAGAAUAUCUAUUCUCCUUCUAUGUACUUGAUCUCGUAAAAGCAACUUAUGUCAAGAAGCCCGAAUUCCUAGUAAAUAUCAAAAAACUAAACAUAUGUGUAGAGUAGAAUAUCUAUUCUCCUUCUAUGUACUUGAUCUCAUAAAAGCAACUUAUGUCAAGAAGCCCGAAUUCCUAGUAAAUAUCAAAAAACUAAACAUUACCUCUUUCAGAAGACGAUAUUAAGAAACAACCAGUGUUAUCAAAGGCGUGUUUAAAGCGCGCUUAAGCCCUAAAGCGAAGCUCAAAACAUGUUGAGCG